CGGCCACAUUGGGACUGAGACACGGCCCAGACUCCUACGGGAGGCAGCAGUGGGGAAUAUUGCACAAUGGGGGAAACCCUGAUGCAGCGACGCCGCGUGGAGGAAGAAGGUCUUCGGAUUGUAAACUCCUGUUGUUGAGGAAGAUAAUGACGGUACUCAACAAGGAAGUGACGGCUAACUACGUGCCAGCAGCCGCGGUAAAACGUAGGUCACAAGCGUUGUCCGGAAUUACUGGGUGUAAAGGGAGCGCAGGCGGGAGAACAAGUUGGAAGUGAAAUCCAUGGGCUCAACCCAUGAACUGCUUUCAAAACUGUUUUUCUUGAGUAGUGCAGAGGUAGGCGGAAUUCCCGGUGUAGCGGUGGAAUGCGUAGAUAUCGGGAGGAACACCAGUGGCGAAGGCGGCCUACUGGGCACCAACUGACGCUGAGGCUCGAAAGUGUGGGUAGCAAACAGGAUUAGAUACCCUGGUAGUCCACACCGUAAACGAUGAUUACUAGGUGUUGGAGGAUUGACCCCUUCAGUGCCGCAGUUAACACAAUAAGUAAUCCACCUGGGGAGUACGACCGCAAGGUUGAAACUCAAAGGAAUUGACGGGGGCCCGCACAAGCAGUGGAGUAUGUGGUUUAAUUCGACGCAACGCGAAGAACCUUACCAAGUCUUGACAUCCCUUGACGAUGCUGGAAACAGUAUUUCUCUUCGGAGCAAGGAGACAGGUGGUGCAUGGUUGUCGUCAGCUCGUGUCGUGAGAUGUUGGGUUAAGUCCCGCAACGAGCGCAACCCUUAUCAUUAGUUGCUACGCAAGAGCACUCUAAUGAGACUGCCGUUGACAAAACGGAGGAAGGUGGGGAUGACGUCAAAUCAUCAUGCCCUUUAUGACUUGGGCUACACACGUACUACAAUGGCGUUAAACAAAGAGAAGCAAGACCGCGAGGUGGAGCAAAACUCAGAAACAACGUCCCAGUUCGGACUGCAGGCUGCAACUCGCCUGCACGAAGUCGGAAUUGCUAGUAAUCGUGGAUCAGCAUGCCACGGUGAAUACGUUCCCGGGCCUUGUACACACCGCCCGUCACACCAUGAGAGCCGGGGGGACCCGAAGUCGGUAGUCUAACCGUAAGGAGGACGCCGCCGAAGGUAAAACUGGUGAUUGGGGUGAAGUCGUAACAAGGUAGCCGUAGGAGAACCUGCGGCUG
rnacentral:rRNA from 1 species